rnacentral:rRNA from 1 species
UACGGAGGGUGCAAGCGUUAUCCGGAUUCACUGGGUUUAAAGGGUGUGUAGGCGGGCUGUUAGGUCAGUGGUGAAAUCUCCGGGCUCAACCCGGAAACUGCCAUUGAUACUAUCAGUCUUGAAUAUCGUUGAGGUUGGCGGAAUAUAUCAUGUAGCGGUGAAAUGCAUAGAUAUGAUAUAGAACACCGAUUGCGAAGGCAGCUAACUAAGCGAUGAUUGACGCUGAGGCACGAAAGCGUGGGGAUCAAACAGG